CUCAUGUCUCAUUCAAAUUAUUAUACCAAAUCAUAACUAAACAUGCUGGACUUUUACCUUGAGCAACACCUUUCAACAGGCUAUCAAAUCAACUAAUACAAGACCAAACUUAAUUAUAUGUCAUUCAAACACUAGUCAACUAUUCAAACCAAUCAAAGUGUUAUUACCAUUACCAACUAGGACACUUCUUUCACCCAUAGCUAUUUUCAACACGACUGAUGCUAAACAUGAAAAUCAAAUCACUCGAAACUUCAGUUUUAUGGUGUGACAAUCAGCUCAUGCUCUAUUUACGAGUCCAAACAUUUCUAAUGAUAAACAUUGCAAGCAUAUAUGAAAUUGAAGGGAAAUGACUAAGACUCAUUGUGAACAUCUACAGUUCUUGAUCAAUUUUCAGAUACCAAACUUCAAAUGCACUUAAGUGAUGUCCAUAGUGUUUGAGAAUACCUGGAAAACAGAAUGACAGAAAAGGAAGAAGAUCAGCAAGAGCAGGACAGUGUCAACAGCAACAAUGGAACAGUAGUCUCUCAGUAGUUCAAAAUCAGUUUUAAAAACCCAAAAUCAGACCAUCUUCAACCCAGGUGCAAGAUGUGAAACUUUCAGAGAUUUAACUAAAUGAAGAAGAUCAGAAAUCCCCAGCUGACAUAGAAUUAUAUCAAUUUUUAUCAAAGAAAUAUGCUGGAAAUUAG
rnacentral:lncRNA from 1 species